AUGCCUGUAAUCCCAACACUUUGGGAGGCUGAGGUGGGUGGAUCGCUUGAGUCCAGGAGUUCAAGACAAGCCUGGCCAACAUGUAAUAUUUUUUUUCUGGCUUCAAACCAUGUGGACACGUUCCUCAUCAAUGUGAAAAAGAAUAGAAGGCUUGAACCCGGAGUUUCUGAGGGUAUCUCUUGGUGCCUCACUGUUCCUCUUUGGGAGAAAGCCAAACACAAAGAGAAUGCUGAGCUGACACAGAGCCAGGCAGCCAAGGAGCAGCAUUUUCUCCAUCUGGAAAGUCCUCUGCACUCUUUCCCCUGACCAAGAUCUCACACCGUGGCUGAGCCUGGAGUGCAGUGGCACAAUCAUAGCCAUAGCAGCCUCAAAUUCCUGGCCUCAAGCAAUCCUCUGACCCCAGUGUCCUAAAGUACUGGGAUUAUAGGCAAGAGCCACCAUGCCUGGCAAGAAAUACUUUUAAUAUUCAAUAUUAACCUCAAUCUCAAUUCAUUAUAGCAUCAUUUGUGUCUGAAAUAUUUUUCAAAAUAAAAAGCCUCUAUGUGUCCA
rnacentral:lncRNA from 13 species